CGCUCAUGRGUUUCUAGAGUUAUCGUACAGUCUCGCGAUAUCUGACACCUUCAAACUUCCCCAUGAACCUUUGCGUGUUCUCUUUCUAGCCGGCGCCUGAGAAUGGGUAUCUCUAGGGACAACUGGCAUAAACGCCGCAAGACCGGCGGCAAACGCAAACCCUACCACAAGAAGAGGAAGUAUGAACUGGGUCGUCCCCCUGCAAACACC